ACUGGCAGGCGGACACCCAACCACUGUGCCACCAGGGAAGUCCUUGGAGACUUUUUGAUGAUGGCCAUUCUGACCCGUGUGAGGUGAUACCUCAUUGUAGUUUUGAUUUGCAUUUCUCUAAUAGUUAGUGAUGUUGAGCAUCUUUUCAUGUGUUGGUUGGCCAUCUGUAUGACAUUUCUUUGGAGAAAUGUCUGUUUAGAUCUUUUGCCAUUUUUUGAUUGGGUUGUUUGUUUUUUGAUAUAGAGCUGCAUGAGCUGUUUGUAUAUUUUGGAGAUGAAGCCCUUGUUGGUUGCUUCGUUUGCAAAUAUUUUUUCCCAUUCUGUAGGUUGACUUUUCAUUUUGCGUGUGGUUUCCUUUGCUGUGCAAAGGCUUUUGAGUUUAGUUAGAUCCCAUUUGUUUAUUUUUAUUUUCAUUUUGUUUUUAUUUUCAUUACUCUGGGAGGUGGAACGAAAAAGAUCUUGCUGAGAUUUAUGUCAGAGUGUUGUGCCUAUGUUUUCCUCUAAGAGUUUUAUAGUGUCUGACCUUACAUUUAGGUCUUUAAUCCAUUUUGAGUUUAUUUUUGUGUAUGGUACUAGAGAAUGUUCUAAUUUCAUUCUUUUACAUGUAGCUGUCUGGUUUUCCCAGCACCACUUAUUGAAAAGACUGUCUUUUCUCCAUUGUAUAUUCUUGCCUCCUUUGUCGUAGAUUGACCAUAGGUGCAUCGGUUUAUUUCUGGGCUUUCUAUCCUGUUCCAUUGAUCUGAUUUCUGUUUUUGUGCCAGUACCAUACUGUUUUGAUUAGUGUAGCUUUGCAGUAUAGCCUGAAGUCAGGGAGUCUGAAUCCUCCAGCUCCAUAUUUCUUUCUGAGGAUUACUUUCGCUAUUCGGGGUCUUUUGUGUUUCCAUGCAAAUUAAAAUUUUUUUGUUCUAGUUCUGUGAAAAAUGCUAUUGGUAAUUUGAUAGGGAUUGCAUUGAAUCUGUAGAUUGUCUUGGGUGGUACAGUCAUUUUGACAAUAUUGAUUCUUCCAAUCUAAGAACAUGGUGUAUCUUUCCAUCUGUUUAUAGCAUCUUCGAUUUCUUUCAUCAACGUCUUAUAGUUUUCAGAGUACAGGUCUUUUACCUCCUUAGGUAGGUUUAUUUCUAUGUAUUUUAUUCUUUUUGAUGUGAUGGUAAAUGGGACUGUUUCUUUAAUUUCUCUCUUUCUGCUCUUUCAUUGUUAGUGUAUAGGAAUACAAAAUAUUUCUGUGUAUUAAUUUUGUAUCCUGCAACUUCACUAAAUUCAUUGAUGAGUUCUAGUAGUUUUCUGAUAGCAUCUUUAGGAUUUUCUAUGUAUAGUAUCAUGUCAUCUGCAAACAGAGACAAAUUUACUUCUUUUCCAAUUUGGAUUCCUUUUAUUUCCUUUUCUUCUCUGAUUGCCGUGCCUAGGACUUCCAAAACUAUGUUGAAUAAAAGUGGCAAGAGUGGAUAUCCUUGUCUAGUUCCUGAUCUUAGAGGAAAUGCUUUCAGAUUUUCACCAUUGAGAAUAAUGUUAGCUGUGGGCUUGGCAUAUAUGGUCUUUAUUAUGUUGAGGUAGGUUCCCUCUAUGCCCACAUUCUGGAGAGUUUUUAUCAUAAAUGGGUGUUGAGUUUUGUCAAAAGGUUUUUUUACAUCCACUGAAAUGAUCAUAUGGCUCUUAUUUUUCAGUCUAUUAAUGUGGUAUAUAACACUGAUUGAUUUGUGGAUAAUGAAGAAUUCUUGCAUCCCUGGGAUAAACCCCACUUGAUCAUGGUGUAUGAUCCUUUUAAUGUAUUGUUGGAUUUGGUUUGCUAGUAUUUUGCUGAGGAUUUUUGCAUCUAUGUUCAUCAGAGAUGUUGGCCUGUAAUUUUCUUUUUUUGUGGUAUCUUUGCUUGGUUUUGGUAUCAAGGUGAUGGUGGCCUCAUAGAGUGAGUUUGGGAGUGUUCCUUCCUCUGAAAUUCUUUGGAAGAGUUUCAGAAGUGCAGGUGUUAACUCUUCUCUAAAUGUUUGACAGAAUUCACCUGUGAAGCCAUCUGGUCCUGGACUUUUGUCUGUUGGAAGUUUUUUAAAUCACAGUUUCAAUUUCAGUACUUGUGAUUGGUCUGUUCAUGUUUUCUAUUUCUUCCUGGUUCAGUCUUGGAAGUUUGUAGCUUUCUAAGAAUUUGUCCAUUUCUUCCAGGUUGUCCAUUUUAUUGGCAUAUUGUUGCUUGUAGUAGUCUCUUAUGAUCCUUUGAAUUUCUGUAGUUUCAGUUGUCACUUCUUUUCAUUUCUAAUUUUAUUGAUUUGAGCCCUCUCCCUUUUUUUAUGAGUCUGGCUAAAGGUUUAUCAAUUUUGUUUAUCUUUUUGAAGAACCAGCUUUUAGUUUCAUUGACUUUUCUAUUGUUUUCUUCUUCUUUAUUUCAUUUAUUUCUGCUCUGAUCUUCAUGAUUUCUUUCCUUCUGCUAACUUUGGGUUCUGUUUGUUCUUCUUUCUCUAGUUGCUUUAGGUGUAAAGUUAGGUUGUUUGAGAUUUUUCUUGUUUCCUGAGGUAAGAUUUUAUUGCUAUAAACUUCCCUCUUAGAACUGCUUUUGCUGCAUCCCAUAGGUUUUAGAGUGUGGUAUUUUCAUUGUCAUUUGUCUCUAGUGUUUUUUGAUUUCCUCUUUGAUUUCUUCAGUGGUCCAUUGGUUGUUUAGUAACAUAUUGUUUAGCCUCCACAUGUUAGUGGGUUUUUUGUUUUUUUUUUUUCUUUUCCGGUAUGAAGGCCUCUCACUGUUGUGGCCUCUCCUGUUGCGGAGCACAGGCUCCGGACGCGCAGGCUCAGCAGCCAUGGCUCACGGGCCCAGCCACUCCGCGGCCUGUGGGGUCUUCCAGGACCGGGGCAUGAACCCGUGUCCCCUGCAUCAACAGGCGGACUUUCAACCAUUGCACCACCAGGGAAGCCCCAUGUUGGUGUUUUUUACAGUUUUUUUCUUGUGAUUGAUUUCUAAUCUCAUAGUGUUGUGGUCGGGAAAGUUGCUUGAUAUGAUUUCAGUUUUCUUAAAUUUACUCAGUGCUUGCUAUGUGGCCCAGAAUGUGAUCUAUCCUGGAGAAUGUUCCAUGUGCACUUGAGAAGAAGGUGUAUUCUGCUGCUUUUGGAUGGAAUGUUCUGUAAAUAUCAGUUAAUCCCCUUGGUCUAAUGUGUCAUUUAAGGCCUGUGUUUCCUUAUUGAUUUUCUAUCUGGAUGAUGUUCAUUGAUGUAAGUGGGGUGUUAAAGUCCCCCAGUUUUAUUGUGUUACUGUUGAUUUCUCCUUUUAUGGCUGUUAGCAUUUGCCUUAUAUAUUGGGGUGCUCCUAUGUUGGGCACAUGUAUAUUUACAAGUGUUAGAUCUCUUGGAUUGAUCCCUUUAUCAUUAUGCAGUGUCCUUCUUUGUCUCUUAUAAAUCUUCAUUUUAAAGUCGAUUUUGUCUGAUAUGAGUAUUGCUACUCCAGCUUUCUUUUGAUUUCCAUUUGCAUGGAAUACCUUUAUCCAUGCCCUCGCUUUCAGUCUGUAUAUGUCCCUAGAUCUAAAGUGGGUCUCUAGUGGACACUAUAUAUACAGGUCUUGUUUUCAUGUCCAUUCAGCCAGCCUGUGUCUUUUGGUUGGAGCAUUUAAUCCAUUUUCCUUUGAAGUAAUUAUCAUAUGUAUGUUCUUAUUGCCAUCUUGUUAAUUGUUUUGGAUUUGUUUUUGUAGGUCUUUUUUCUUCCCUUCCUCUUUUUUUUUUCCUUGUGAUUUGGUGACUAUCUUUUGUGUUGUGUUUGGAUUGCUUUUUCUUUUUUGUAUGUGUAUCUAUUGUAGGUUUUUGGUUUGCUGUUCCCAUGAGGUUUUGAUAUAGCACUCUGUAUAUAAACAAGAUUGUUUUAAGUUGCUGGUCUCUUAAUAUCAAAUGCAUUUCCAGUACCCUGCAUUUGUACUCUCCUCAGGAUUGCUGGUUUUGAUAAAUUUGUGUGUAAAUGAUUUCCUACGUUUACUGUAUGUUUGCCUUUACUGGUGAGCUUUCCCAUUCGUAAUUUUCUUGUUUCUAGUUGUGGCCUUUUCUGCCUAGAGAAGUUCCUUUAGCAUUUGUUGUAAAGCUGGUUUGGUGGUGCUGAAUUCUAUUAGCUUUUGAUUGUCUGUAAAGCUUUUCAUUUCUCUGUCAAAGCUGAACAAGAGCCUUGCUGGGUAGAGUACUCUUGGUUGUAGGUUUUUCCCUUGUAUCACUUAAAUACAUAGUGCUACUCCCUUCUGGCCUGCAGGGUUUCUGCUGAAAAAAUCAGCUGAUAACCUUAUGGGGAUUCCCUUGUUUCUUAUUUGUUGCUUUUCCCUUGUUGCUUUUAACAUUUUCUCUUUGUUUUUAAUUUUUGUCAGUUUUACUAAUAUAUGUGUCUCGACAUGUUCCUCCUUGGGUUUAUCCUGUAUGGGACUCUGCACUUCGUGGACUUGAGUGAGUAUUCCCUUUCCCAUGUUAGGGAAGUUUUUAGUUAUAAUCUCUUCAAAUGUUUUCUCAGGUCCUUUCUCUCUCUCUUCUCUUCCGGGACCCCUGUAAUGGGAAUGUUGGUGUGUUUAAUGUUGUCCCAGAAGUCUCUUAGACUGUCCUCAUUUCCUUUCAUUCUUCUUUCUUUAUUCUGUUCUGUGGCAGUGAUUCCCAUCACUCUUUCAGCUCACUUAUUUGUUCUUCUGUCUCACUUAUUCUGCUAUUGAUUCAUUCUAGUGUAUUUUUCAUUUCAAUUAUUAUAUUGUUCAUCUGUUUGUUCUUUAAAUCUUCUAGCUCUUUGUUAAACAUUUCUUGUAUCUUCUUGGUCUGUGCCUCCAUUCUUUUUCCAAGAUCUUGGGUCGUCUUUACUAUCAUUACCUUGAAUUGUUUUUCAAAUAGAUUGCCUAUCUCCAAUUCACUUAGUUGUUCUUCCGGGGUUUUAUCUUGUUUGCUUGUCUGGAAUAUGUUUCUCUGCCAUUUCAUUUUGUCUAACUUUCUGUGUUUUUGGUCUCCUUUCCUCAGGCUGCAGGAUUGUAGUUCCUCUUGCUUCUGGUGUCUGCCCCCCCAGUGGGUGAGAUUGAUUUAGGGGCUUGUGCAGGCUUCCUGGUGGGAGGGACUGGCACCUGCCCACUGGUGCAUGGAGGUGGGUCUUGUCCCUCUGGUGGGCAGAAAUAUGUCAAGGAGUGUGUUUAGAGGUGGCUGUGAGCUCAGUACAACUUUAGGCUGCCUGUCUGCUGAUGGGUGGGGCUAUGUCUCCCCACCCCACGACUGCUGGUUGUUUGGCCUGAGGCCUCCCAGCACUGGAGCCUGCAGGCUGUAGGGUGGGGCCCACUUCUUGGUGCCAAAAUGGUGACCUCUGGGAGAGCUCACACCAAUCAAUAUUCCCUGGGUCCUUCACCACAGGUGUCCUCGCACAGAGAGAGCCACAAUCAACCCCCACCUCUUCAGGAGACCCUCCAAUACCCGCAGGUAUGUCUAGUCCAGUCUCCUAUGAAGUCACUGCUUUGUGCUGGGUCCCAGUGCACGUGAAAACUUGUGUGCGCCCUCCAAGAGUGGAGUCUCUGUUUCCCUCAGUCCUGUGGAGCUCCUGCACUCAAGCCCCACUGGCCUUCAAAGCUAAAUGCUCUGGGGGCUCCUCCUCCUGAUGCCGGACCCUCCGGCUGGGGAGCCUGACGUGGGGCUCAGAACUCUCCUGUGGGAGAACCUCUGUGACAUAAUUAUUUUCCAGUUUGUGGGUCACCUACCCAGUGGGUAUGGGGUUUGAUUAUAUGGGGUGUGUGGGUGCGGUGACCCGUGUGUGCUCCCAGUACGGUGGAGGCAGCAAUCAGCCCCUGUUCAUGGGUCUUCCAGUGGCAGCAGUGGCCCCCAUGCCCCCGGGAUAGUGGGGGCAGCAACUGGCACGUGCUCCUGUGUUUCUUAGUGGUGGUGGCAGCCCAUGCACUCCCGGGACAGCAGGGGCAGGGAUUGGCACCUGCUUCCAUGUCUCCCAUUCUUUGUUUUCUUGUGCAAAAUUGUCUUGGUUAUUCCUGGACUGUUACUGUUCCAGAUAAAAUUUUAAUAUCGUUGUCAGGUUUCACAAAAACUGUUGCUUUUGCCUUCAUUUCUUGAGUGAAGUUUAGCUUUUAAAGCUUAAUAUUACUAUUGUAGAAUCACUAGCUUCUUAUAAGCUUCAUUUCUGUCUUUUCCAGCAUAGCUGUUCUUCUCUUCUUCAAUAGAUUCACACUUGGAAGUGUUCCAACAGAAUGAGAACCUGACUAUCCUUAGUGGCUGAUACAGGCUUAUUGCAGUUACAGGAAUGCUGAUUGUUCCAUAACAUAUGUAACUAAUCUGGGUACAUUUUGUAGACUGGUGAUAAAACACAUCACAUCUUAAAUCUCUGAACGAUGUGCUUACAUGUGUAUGUGUAUUUAUAUGUGUGUACACACCUUCAAAUAAAAAGCAGAAACAAAACCAUCUUGGGCCUUUGAUUUGAAGCACUCUGCACUUCCCAGGUGAUUCUGCUUCUGCUUUACUGAGCCAGCUACUAAGGGAACCUCAAUGCGAUGAUGAAUAGACUCGCCUCAAAAAGGAGGAUGAAGGGGCGCAGAAUAUGCCAUCCCAAAAUAUGCCUCUUUGGCAUAAGGAUUAUUUUGAGCGGAUUAUUUUUAAGAAACAGAAGAAAAGCUCUAAAAAUCUAGUAGAAGUUACUCAUUUGUAGGAGACAUUUACAUUUAUAAGAGAAAUUUUUAUUUGUAAGUAUGUCUUCUAAUCUGUGCCAGGAAGAGAAGGAUGACUCUAAAUCACAAGGAACUCUUAUCAGUGGAGAAGAUACCCAACUUAAAUCUGCAUAACAACCUUACUCUGUUUACUGUGUUUUUCCUAGUAACUUCCCAUAACUGGCCUUCUCCACCUCCCAACAUUUUUCUUGUUUCUUUAGCUGAAAAAGGAAUUUAAGAUGAUGGCUUGGGCUAUUUGAGGGAGUUAGUUUUCCAGGGUCUCCCCCAUGUAUACAGGAUGUAUACAUGUUAUUUGUUUUCUAUUUGUUUUUCUCCUGUUAAUCUGUCUUUUAUUACAGGGGCGGGGUCUCAGCCAACAACCUAGAAUGGUAGAGGGAAAAUUUUUUUUCCUCACUGACAGUUUGGUGACCCGUGAUGGGAUCUGCUGAAACACUGUACUUCUUCUGGAGCCUGAAGAUAGGAACCUGGAAAACUGGCAGAAGCCAGCAAAGGACAUGCCUCUUAUUAAUACCCAAUUGCUCGCACCGUAUAAGGCUAACUUCGGGAUCCCACCUGCAACACCAGCUCCUGAAAUGAGACACAACUGUUUAACUGAGCUGACCUGUCCUCGAGAUUAAGAGACAAAAGCACCAUUUUCACUGCUCUGAAGAAAGAAGAACACAGAAACCAGAUGUCCUACAUGUGUGUUUCACUCACUAAUUCCCAGGGUGACAGUGGAAGGAGCUGCUUUUGAAGUGUCGCCCUGCUGGCUUCACACUUGGAUCCCCGGCCGCCUGGGUGACAGUCGCUUUCGAGCCCAGCCAGCCCCUCUGGCUGGAAUCCAGGGCCCGGUGGGCAGCCCCAUUCUCCAGCAGGUCCUCACAGGGGGAGUCCCUACACCAUUAACCGCCCAGCACUGCAGGGCCCAGAGCCUUCUCACUGACUAGGGGAGACUGUUCCCUAGUCAGAAGCCAGAGUUCCUGUUCUUUCAACAGAUACUUAAUCAUUUUCGUUAAAACCUUUAUUCAUUAACAUAUUCUAGAUAAUAAAAGCCUAAUUUAAUACUA